CCUUGUUUGUCAGUAUCGAUGAUAUGCAGAUCCUUCUCCCAGGUAAUCCAGGUCCUUGGGUUUGUUGCUCUUACCUAGUAGCUGUCAGUUUGUUUUGCCUGGGUUUGUAACUCAAGACAGGUCUGCCAGCUUAGUGUAGGAGUUGCACCACCAUAUAAUACAGUGGGUGAGUAGUUAAGAGACUUAGAGGGCAGGUGAUGAUUUUCAUAGUAAUUAAAACCACCUGGUAUGGUUAGUCUCUGCAUCUGUAUUCAUUGCAUUUUAGGUGAGCAUAGUGAAAAUAGAGAUAAAGGGGACAGAGCUUGUAUGGACUAGUUGGCUUUGAAGGUGAGCAAGACCUAAGAGGGUCCAGAAGACUUGAAAAGAAGUCAGAAAAUUGUUGAGACAUUGCAGCAAGCCACCAGGGAGCCAGAGAAGCCUUCCAGCACUGAGUCAGCGUGUCAUUUCAGGAGUGUAUAUUUCCUCAAAUGCAAAUCAGUUUUAUUUACUUUUUCCUGAUUUUUUUUCCCCUACCUUUUUCCAUGCUUCCCAUGUUUUACUGGCUCUGUGUUGAUAUUUUAGCUUUUGAAAGAGAAGUAGAGGAAUAAUCCAUUUACUUAAUGGGAACUUGUGUGUGUUAGGCAGCCUAAGAGGGAAAAAUUACCAGUUCUGGAGAUUCCAUAAAUAUGCUACCAUGGAAUUGUUCCAGGUAUCUGUGUGGAAAACACCCAUUGAAUCUUAGUCCCUUCUUGAAUAUUUCUGAUUAACUUAAAUGUAUAACAGCCUUUGACAAAAAUCUGUUAUCUAAUUUCUGUAAUAAAGUUAUUCUUUUGUUUA